rnacentral:lncRNA from 1 species
CUGCUAACGUCUAGUAGUUUGUGGGGCAUGAUGUUAACUACAAAUGUAUAGUAGUUUAUGAACCAUGAUGUUAACUGAAUUUUUUUGCAGCUCGGCGUAUUGCUGCUGGAGCUGGUGUCCGUGCAACAGCCUGCGUAAGGGACUCCUUCCUCGUUGACACGGGCGAAGGCGCUGCAGUGCAUGACCAAGGACCGCGCGGCGCGGCCUAACAUGUCCUCGGUCGCCGUCAAGGUCUAAAAGCUCUUCCUGGAGGUGCAGGACUGUGCCAACAAAGUUCCACAUCCCCGCUGACAUGUCCAUCUCCAUGGCACAGAUGAAUUCAAUUUAAUUGCUUGCUGGAGAAUGUGUCGUUGCUCGUCGUAGGAUUCGAAAGUGAAAUGGAAUUGUUGGUAGAUAAGUUGAUUACCUCUGCCUUGGCCAUCACAUGUUUGUGAUGCUAAACAACAGGUGAGUGCUGCUCAACACAUGUAGGAUGUAACGCCUACCACUACCAGGAAGCUUCGGCGCCCUGCUGCUAGCACAUGAGGCGCUCGUGAGCAAAUCCUGGUGCUCUGACUACAAAAUUGAUUGUUUUUGUCUGAGAGGUUGCUCUAGAACUGGAGUAGUAUACUUUAAAAUUCAUACAACUGAAUGCUACUUCAAAUUUCAGCUAACUGAAAGCUCGGGGGGACUGGAAGCUGAAGGCUAGAAGUUCGAAGAAGACUUUCAUAAAAGUUCAAAAUCAAGAAAGAGCAUUACAAAAGUAAUUAUUAAAUAAAAAUUAGUGUGUUGGCGCGUGCGUGCUGGGUUUGGUGUCUCUCUCUCUCUCUCGUGUGUGUGCGUCCACGCGCGUGUGUGUGAGACAAAAAAAUAUAUGUGUUGGUUGGUUUCCCCAACUAGUUGCUCUCUGACAGACAAUAUGGCGUUGCUUUCCUUCUUCUUCAUGAAAUUGUUACAGAAAAUUAGAGCAUAGAAGUUCAAAAUUAAAAGCAGAAAAGCGAGCAUUUCUUGAAGACAAUAAAAAUGUAGAUGUGAGCUUCAUAUUCU